rnacentral:rRNA from 1 species
GUCGCAGCCCCGGAACCAGGCGCCCGCCGGAGGAAACCAACCAAACUCUUUCUGUAGUCCCCUCGCGGACGUAUUUCUUACAGCUCUGAGCAAAAAUUCAAAAUGAAUCAAAACUUUCAACAACGGAUCUCUUGGUUCUGGCAUCGAUGAAGAACGCAGCGAAAUGCGAUAAGUAAUGUGAAUUGCAGAAUUCAGUGAAUCAUCGAAUCUUUGAACGCACAUUGCGCCCGCCAGUAUUCUGGCGGGCAUGCCUGUCCGAGCGUCAUUUCAACCCUCGAACCCCUCCGGGGGAUCGGCGUUGGGGAUCGGGACCCCUCACACGGGUGCCGGCCCCUAAAUACAGUGGCGGUCUCGCCGCAGCCUCUCCUGCGCAGUAGUUUGCACAACUCGCACCGGGAGCGCGGCGCGUCCACGUCCGUAAAACACCCAACUUUCUGAAAUGUUGACCUCGGAUCAGGUAGGAAUACCCGCUGAACUUAAGCAUAUC